GACGAACGCUGGCGGCGUGCUUAACACAUGCAAGUCGAACGAUGAAGCCGGAGCUUGCUCUGGUGAAUUAGUGGCGAACGGGUGAGUAACACGUGAGUAACCUGCCCUUGACUCUGGGAUAACUGCUAGAAAUGGUAGCUAAUACCGGAUACGACCCUCGGAGGCAUCUCCAGGGGGUGGAAAGAAUUUCGGUCCAGGAUGGACUCGCGGCCGAUCAGCGAGUUGGUGAGGUAACGGCUCACCAAGGCGACGACGGGUAGCCGGCCUGAGAGGGUGACCGGCCACACUGGGACUGAGACACGGCCCAGACUCCUACGGGAGGCAGCAGUGGGGAAUAUUGCACAAUGGGCGCAAGCCUGAUGCAGCAACGCCGCGUGAGGGAUGACGGCCUUCGGGUUGUAAAGCUCUUUUGUCAGGGAAGAAACACCGGCUCUAACACAGUCCGGGAAUGACGGUACCUGAAGAAUAAGCACCGGCUAAC
rnacentral:rRNA from 1 species